ACCAGACUCCUACGGGAGGCAGCGGUGGGGAAUAUUGCACAAUGGGGGAAACCCUGAUGCAGCGACGCCGCGUGAGCGAUGAAGUAUUUCGGUAUGUAAAGCUCUCUCAGCAGGGAAGAAAAUGGCGGUACCUGACUAAGAAGCCCCGGCUAACUACGUGCCAGCAGCCGCGGUAAUACGUAGGUGGCAAGCGUUGUCCGGAUUUACUGGGUGUAAAGGGCGUGUAGCCGGGCUUACAAGUCAGAUGUGAAAUCCGGGGGCUCAACCCCCGAACUGCAUUUGAAACUGUAGGUCUUGAGUAUCGGAGAGGCAGGCGGAAUUCCUAGUGUAGCGGUGAAAUGCGUAGAUAUAAGGAAGAACACCAGUGGCGAAGGCGGAUUACUGGACGAUAACUGACGGUGAGGCGCGAAAGCGUGGGGAGCAAACAGGAUUAGAUACCCCGGUAC
rnacentral:rRNA from 1 species